AGUUCCAGGAUUUUUGAAUGAAGAUGAUGUACAACUGCUGAAGUAAUUUGAAUAUAUGCCUUCCUUCCAUGCUGAAAUCGGGUUAUUUGUAAGUCAGUUUGAGUUCCGAAUCGUUCGUGCUGCAUCGGAAGAUCAUUUAGUCCAUGUAAAACCUCUCUGGCUUAACAUAUGGAUGUCAUUCAUCUUUUUCCAUAAAUGAGCUUGGGAAGAGGUGGACUGCAGGAGCAACUAGCUUCCUAUAUUGGACUCCCGGCCAUGAUGAAAAAAAGAGUAGGGGAUAAGCUUUUUAAAAAGGAAUUUUAAUGCCAGAAAAGGAAGGUAGGAAGAUACAUCGGUAGAGGUUUGCUUUCAGCAUUUUGGUAUGUGAGAAGGUACCAGGUUUGCAGCCGGCAGGAAAUCCGAGCUUUUAUUGUAGUCGUCAAAUCUUGGUCUUUGAGGAUUCUGGAAAAACUUUCCGUUUGAGUCAGAUUACAGAGCAAUCAUGCUGCUUUGAGGCUACUGAGAUAAUUCAGCAUAUUCUAGUGUUACUCGUAGUCGAUUUGAUGGCCUCUCUAAGCAUUUAGAUUCAUUCUUGCAAAUGUUAUCUCAUGUGCAACUAAGGUGUUUUCCGUGAUAGUUCCUAGUGCAUAAAUAGACUAGAAAGUACUUAGUCGAUCAGAAGGUCGAGGGUGGUAAGGGGACUGAGUUAUUAACAUAAAAGAAACGGGUGGAAAGGGUGGAAAAUUGAAGGCACAAGUCUAUUUAUUGAUUUUUGAGCUAGCUUUGCUUGAUCUUCUGCCUCUUGGUUGUUGCACCUAUAUUUUUCUACUUAUUUAAUUCACUCUUUGCUACAUUUUGCAGAUUUAAAAUUAAUCUGUUAAAUAUAUUAUGUUUUUGUGAGUUAUACAGUGCCUGACGUUUUUCUACUUUUUUCUAAUCCACUGUUUGCUGUCUUACUGCUUUAUAAAUAACACAUACAUAGUAUCCUAUUUUUCUGUCUCAUAUGCCUGUACAAAUAUGUGCUAUAUUAGUGUUUCUCUGAUAUAUAAACUCCCAUUGAUUGUCAAAUCUUGGCAUCUUAAUAUCUGUUUUUACAGGCUCAUUCCCAAGUACUUACUAGACACAUUUCCUUUUUUACUUUGGCAUUAGGUUUGUUGUACUUGCAUCUAAAAAAGAAAUCAUGGGUCUUGGAAGCUGGUUGAGCAGUCAAUUGGGUCUACAACAAAUGUUUAUAGCAUUUACCGUACAAUAAGCAUUGCAAUAUCUGCACUUUGAGAAGAUUUUGCCUUUUAUACAUAUGCAGUUUUCAGUUUCUCAUUUUGCCCUACUGUUAACAUGGACAAUUGUUUUGUUUAGGUUCUUGCAUUGCUGAAAAAAUGUUUGGUAUAGAUUCAAGAGAGUUAAAUGCUCCCUCCGAGGAAAGUUACCCGAAGGGCCAACUGGAACGUAAUACAAAGCGCUUGGCAGAUGUCGUCUCAGAUGCUUCAAAUUUUCAGUCAUUCAUUAUGAUGAACUUUGGAAGCUUUAGCAACAAUCUUUCUACUCCCUCUGGAGAGUUUGUAUCUGGCUGGUGCUCGUCUAACAUUCUAGUUUGUGAAGAGGAUGCACCAUUAAAAUGAGAAGGAUCUGUUUCUCAACAUGUUCAUUCGGGUCAUAGAGAAGGACUAUUAGAAACUGUCAGAUGGGAAAGUGUCCACAGUUAGCAAUAACUUGUGUUCACUGUUAUGUCAUGCAUAGUCUUUAGUUCCAGGAUUUUUGAAUGAAGAUGAUGUACAACUGCUGAGGGAAUACGCUUCAUAAAAAGGAAUUUUAGUGCCAGAAAAGGAAGGUAGGAAGGUAAGACUGAUCUUGUAAAGAUGACAGGAAAGAUGGUAGUAUAUAUUUAAAGAAAACAAUUUAAUCGAUCACUCAAAAUUAAAUGUUGGAAUGUUUCGAAGAUGAUCUAAAUUGACAGAGUAUUAUGUUUUUUUGUUCUGAUAAAGAUAUAAUGGUAGAGGUUUGUUUUCAGCAUUUUGGUAUGCGAGAAGGAACCAGUUUCCAGCAGGUGGGAAAUCCGAGCUUUUAUUGUAGUCGUCAAAUCCUGGGUCUUGUGAAUGUGCUUAUUUGUCUAAGUUGCUUGAGGGCGAGCAAGACUUCUGUUUGGGGGGUAUUUGAUGUGUGUGGUUAAUUUAACUUGUUAUUAUACAAUGGAUGGAAUGGAGGGUAGCAUACUACUACUCCAGUUCAAUUUUGACCACCUCACUAUUAAUUCCACUGAGUUGAAGGGUAUAAAGCUGCAACUAAUAUUUAUAUUUUUAUAAACCUAACUUUAGUUCGAUAUUUAGUGUGUCAUUUCAUACUAAAGCCAUCAAUGAAGAACUACUGCAAAAUCUUUCUGAUGCUCUACACUUGUCGGUACCUGAUAAAAUUAGGGUUGGACUUCUUUGUCUAAUUUUGAAGAACACGAUAUCUUCACGAUACCAGGAUGUGUGGUUAGUUAUUCUCUUCUUUGUACAUACAUUUAGAUAUAAUUUUUUGUUUAGUUGUAGGAAGUGGAAUACAUACAACAGUCUAUUAUUUUUGUAUCCUUGGAAUUCUUCUACCUGUUGCACUAAACCUGUAACCCUUUUCUUGGCUGUAUGCAGGAAAGAAUUUCUGUCUGAUUUAGAUUACUGAGCUGUCUGCCAAUUCUGCAGCGUUUGAGGCUACUGAUAUAAUUUAGCAUAUUCUCGUGUCACUCUUAGUCGAUUUGAAGGCCUCUCUAAGCAUUUAGAUUCAUUCUACUUGAAGGCCUCUCUAAGCAUUUAGUUUCAUUUUUUCAAAAUGUUAUCUCUUGUGCAACUAAUGUGUUUUCUAUGACAGUUCCUAGUGCAUAAAUAGAGUAGAAUGUACUUGGUCGAUCUGAAGGUCGGGGGUGGUAGGUGGAGUUUUUAACUUAUAAGAAACGGGGGGAAGGUGUGGAAAACAAAAGGCAAAAGUCUAUUUAUUGGUUUUUGACCUUGCUUUGCGUGGUCUUCUGCUUCCUGGUUGUUGCGCCUAUAUUUUUAUAUUUAUUUUAUUCAUUAUUUGCUGCCUUUUGCAGCUAAUUGUUGAACUGUUACAUAUAUUAAAUUUUUGUUUGUUAUACUGUGACUGACGUUUUUCAUCUUUUUCUAAUCCACCUUUUGCUACCUUGCAGCAUAAUUAAUUAAUACAUACUUAGCAUCCUACUUUUCUUUGUCUAUGCCGUGUACAAAUAUGUGCAAUAUUAGUGUUUCUUUGAUAUGUAUACCCAUCGAUUGUCAAAUCUUGGCUUCUUAAUAUAUCUGUUAACUAGACACAUUUCCUUUUGUACAUUGGCAUUCAGUUUGCUGUACUUGCAUCUAAAAAGAAAUCAUGGGCCUUGGAAGCUGGUUGAGCACCCAAUUAGUGUCACGUAAAGAUACUUUCUAUGAGGAACAGUCAUUAAACAUCAAUGUGUGACUCACCGUACAUAGGGUAUUGCUUUACGUGCUAUUUUAGAUGCUUUGAGGAAGCCUGCAGAUUCAGAAGUUUGUUCCUUCCUAGUUUAUCAGUUAAUGUUAUUAUUGUGAAUUUCAGUUUUACCUUGGAUUUAUAACAUUCUGAUGUUUUCCUUUGAGAGUAUGGCAUUGGAGCAGAGUGUGGACCAUCUCAUUGAGUGGCCACAGUAUAGAGAGGGCACUCAACAGUAUUUCAGCGGCUUAUACCGAACCUGAUGGUGGCCAUAGUGCCAAUACUGCUCACCGACGCGGUCAUAUUCAAUCUUCAGCUCCACAUAUAGAGUCACUAAGUGGUGCUUUGCUAUCAAUACAAUCUGCCUCAUCGGAUUUACCACGGUCGUCUAAAUCAACCUCAGCAAGUAAAUUAUCAGCUUUUGCAACACUGUGAAGCUGAAAGUGUAUCAUACCUGGAUGAGGUGGCCAGCAAUACAACAACUCAGGAUAUGGCACACACUCUGUUGGACUCGAGUUUUUGCAACUCUGUGAAGCUGAAAGUGUAUCAUACCUGGAUGAGUUGGCCAGCAAUGGCAACUCAGGAUAUGGCAAAGUUUGUUGGACUCGAGGUUCCUGCAUUGCGGAAAAAAGCUUGGUAUAGAUUCAAGACAGUUAAAUGCUCCCUCCAAUAACUCCCUCCAAGGCAAGUUACCAGAUGGGGCAACUUGAGCUUAAUACAAAGCUCUUGACAAAUGCCGUCUUAUAUGCUUCAAAUUAUCUGCCAUUCAUCAUAAAGUGUGUUUAUAGGGUUUGUAUUUUCUGUAUGUAUUUUGUGUAGUGCAAGCAGUGUGUAAUGUUUUUUUGUAUGUAUGUGUAAAGUGUGUGUAUUUGUGUAGUGCAAACAGUGUGUAUAUUUUAUGUAUUUUGUGUAUAGUGUAUGUACUGCAUUGCGUUUUGUUGUGUGCGGACACUAUGUGUA